UGUAAAAAAUUUCUGUAAAUUUACAUGAAAAUUCAACAGCAAAAUGCUGUUUUUGUGUAAUAACAGUAAGUUGCUGUUUUUUACAGUGCAUUGUGGGUAGACUUGCUCACUUCAGGUUGGUUGUCGAGCAACAACAGAAUGUCACUGUUAUUUAACAGUAUUAUAGCAUAUUUUUCGUUGUGCACGCCAUUUUGGAUUGUCUGCAUGAGGUAGGUCUGCAACUUUAUCGAUGCUUAUGCUAUUUUAAAAUUACAUAUUACUUUUGAAUAUUGCAUUUUAUCCAGUGAAGCUUUAAAAAAACAAAAUCAGAUUCCAUUUCCUAUUUUAAUCAGGCAAAGCGGGUAUUCUACCAUCACAUCAGUUACACUCACAUCAGAUCACAGGUAAGAAUUCACCAAAGUUUUAUCCAACAUGUUAAUUUUACUAAAAUCUGUGUAAAAGAUGAAUGAGGAAUGAUCAAAAUCAAUGAUUGGUUUUGUGUCUUUACAUUUUUUAUGUGUACAUUCUGUCUAUGCAAGUAAAAGAUAAGCUUGUGUUAUCUGCAAAUUCGCUUGUUAUUUGUAUUAUCUUAAAAUCCUUUUAAAAUCCAUUGUUAAGUAUACCUACAAAUAACACUAAAAAGAUCUGUUGUAAAUUCAUUACAUGCUGGUUAGCUGGUUUUAAACAUCCUGUUGUAUGUGGCACGCUUUUAUCGGUGGUAAGACACAUUAAGUUUAUAAAAUGGACAUGUAUCCCGGCUUCAUGUAAGUUAUGGUAAGUGGGGUAUAUGAAUUUGUUAUUAUAGUCUGAUUACACAAAAAAUUAAACAAAGGCACCCUAAUACAUAAGACUCAAGCAGUCCAAAUGGUUCUUGGUGAAAAACCAAAUGUAACUCAUUUCAUUCACUGUGCAUCUAGAAGUCUCUGUUGCAAACAUGAUUUCAAACUUGAUAGGUCAUCAUGCAUCAAGUACAAGAAAGUGCAGUCAAACUUGAAUUCAUGAUUAUGGUUAGAAACUGAUGUACAUUUAAAAUGUGUUACAGUUUUGUCUGUUGCAAAACCAAUUGAAUCGCAUCAAAAGAUUACUACUUGACUCAUCUGAAAUACUUUUAUCCUCCAUGUAGGGUUAUUUUGGUGCUAUUUUGGUCCCUAUUCCCUGCAUUGUAUAGACAAACAAAUAUUACAUAUAUUAUUAAGAUGUGUGCCACUCCUGCUGACUUUGAGAAGACAAGUAACUUGUGACACCUCGUUUGAUCCUGUUUGCAUCUUUGGCUAUAUUCAUGGCGAGAACUGGUUAAUCCAUAUACAAGUUUUUAUUCACACAAGUCAAUCCAGACACUGGUUGGGGUAGAGACAAUUUGGCAUCUGUGAUACUCGGGACAAUGGAUUAAACAAUGGAUGAUCAGCCUGAAAGCCAAAAGAAUCUGCAAGGGUGUUCAGCCAACGUGUCUCACUGGACUUACUGCAUUGUGUAUUACAUCUCAACUUGCAAAAAGUGAAAGCAGCAUCCACACUGGAAGUCCUUCAAAGAUGCUUCAUUAAAAUCAAACCAGAAAAGGGAACCAAGGCUGCAAAGGGAAAAGUGACCUCUAAAACAAGAAAAAUGCAAAAGAAGACCAUCAACAGUCAGUCUGAAACUAUCAAAUCUUUUAAAAAGACUUAUGGACUUUGAGUGGUACUUCAUUUAAAAUGUAGCUGACACUUCCCACCAAUUUUUUUUAAAUAUGGUGGGCUGCAGCCUGCAGUGAUGGCAGGUGACUUCUCUGAGGGGGCACGAAUGCAAAGCUAGCCAAAACAUUGUCAUGUGUGUGGCUCCUCAUUUCGAAAUUUGUGUUCGGCGCGUCAUGUGAACCUGUGCAUCGCGUGUCAUUUCAAAAUACGUGCCUGCUCCAGACACUUUGAAGGGGAUUAUGAUAAAAUGCUCGCUUUUGCCAGAUAAUCUCAUGUGUAAACAGAGUUUAGUGUUAAAUGAGUGUCUUGCGAGUAUCAUGUGAAUGUCUCUUUUAUUCUUUAUCAUAUUCAAAGCGUUUGUGGCAGGCAUGUAUUUUGACAUGAUGUGCGAUGCAUAUAGGUUCACAUUACACCCCGAACACAUAUUUUGAAUUCAAAAAUGUUUUUUUAUACUGGUUUGUAUAUUAUAGACCAUGUUUUCAUAUUUAAAAUUGGGCUGGUGUCUGUUAAAGAAUUAGUGAAUUAAGUUUUUAUUGAAUUCUUUUAAAAAUGUGGUGUUUUUACAGUUGUGAAACUUUUGUGCUUUUUUGAAAUCUAAAUUUUAAACUACAUUUGUAUUUUAAGUAAAGAUAAGGCAUCUCAAUAUUGUUCUUUGUUUGUUAGAUUUUUUGUCGUUUUUGUAUUUUAGUAUGUUAUUGGUGCCUUUUUGUUGCACCACAGUUUAUGCACUGAAUAUUAAAAUAUAUCUGCUUGUAUUUCUGCCUGUUUUAUGGCAUAACAAACAUAGCAUAACAGUCAAUCUGGAGUUGAAUAGAAUAAAGAAUAAAAAAUGCAUAACCUGGCCUUUUUUGUUUUAUGUUAUCCACUUUGAAAAAUUUAAAAUCCAGGGUAUAAUAGCAUUUAAAUAAAAAAAUAAUGAAGUUGUGACUGUAAAUUAACAGGUAUAUGAUGCUAAAUAACAGUUUUAUGCUGUAGAUAACAAAAACAGUAUCAUGCUAUUAAAUAACAGCUGUAUUCCAUAGAUAUCACAAACAGUACCAUGCUGUUAAAAUAACAGUUGACUGCUGUAGGUAACAAAACAGUAUCAUGCUGUUUUUCCUAAUAACAGUAUCCCGCUGUAAAUUAACAGUGCAAUGCUGGCAACCACAGCUUCCAGCAUAAUACCGUUUUUUUACAGGGAAAUUUUUUAC